rnacentral:rRNA from 1 species
AUGCGAGUCGUUGUAGCAAUACAAGGCAUACGGCUCAGUAACGCGUAGUCAACCUAACCUAUGGACGGGAAUAACCUCGGGAAACUGAGAAUAAUGCCCGAUAGAACAUUAUGCCUGGAAUGGUUUAUGUUCCAAAUGAUUUAUCGCCAUAGGAUGGGACUGCGGCCUAUCAGUUUGUUGGUGAGGUAAUGGCCCACCAAGACUAUUACAGGUACGGGCUCUGAGAGGAGUAGCCCGGAGAUGGGUACUGAGACACGGACCCAGGCCCUAUGGGGCGCAGCAGGCGAGAAAACUUUGCAAUGUGCGAAAGCACGACAAGGUUAAUCCGAGUGAUUUCUGCUAAAGAGAUCUUUUGUUAGUCCUAGAAACACUAACGAAUAAGGGGUGGGCAAGUUCUGGUGUCAGCCGCCGCGGUAAAACCAGCACCUCAAGUGGUCAGGAUGAUUAUUGGGCCUAAAGCAUCCGUAGCCGGCUCUGUAAGUUUUCGGUUAAAUCUGUACGCUCAACGUACAGGCUGCCGGGAAUACUGCAGAACUAGGGAGUGGGAGAGGUAGACGGUACUCGGUAGGAAGUGGUAAAAUGCUUUGAUCUAUCGAUGACCACCUGUGGCGAAGGCGGUCUACCAGAACACGUCCGACGGUGAGGGAUGAAAGCUGGGGGAGCAAACCGGAUUAGAUACCCGGGUAGUCCCAGCUGUAAACUAUGCAAACUCAGUGAUGCAUUGGCUUGUGGCCAAUGCAGUGCUGCAGGGAAGCCGUUAAGUUUGCCGCCUGGGAAGUACGUACGCAAGUAUGAAACUUAAAGGAAUUGGCGGGGGAGCACCACAAGGGGUGAAGCCUGCGGUUCAAUUGGAUUCAACGCCGGG